rnacentral:rRNA from 1 species
UGAGGAAUAUUGGGCAAUGCCCGCAAGGGUGACCCAGCAACGCCGCGUGGAGGAUGAAUGUCGUAAGAUUGUAAACUCCUGUUAGAGGGGAAGAAUAGUACCGGUUGGACCGGUAUAUGACUGUACCCCAAGAGAAAGCCCCGCUUAACUACGUCCCAGCACCCGCGGUAAAACGUAGGGGCAAAGCGUUGACCGGAUUAACGGGGUGUAAAGGGCGCGCAGGCGGGAUAAAAAGUCAGUGGUGAAAUCCUACAGCUUAACUGUAGAACUGCCUUUGAUACUUUUAUUCUUGAGUUCGGGAGAGAGAGACGGAAUUCCAGGUGUAGUGGUGAAAUACGUAGAUAUCUGGAAGAACACCAGUUGCGAAGGCGGUCUCUUGGUCCGACACUGACGCUGAGGCGCGAAAGCGUGGGGAGCAAACA